UAUCGCGUGGUAUUCUGCCUCGGGGGAU
rnacentral:sRNA from 1 species